CGGGACUUGGCGGACCAGACGGUUCUUUAUUGUGUCCUACUGGCUCGCCAAGUCCUAGU
rnacentral:pre_miRNA from 1 species